rnacentral:rRNA from 1 species
AUGUUACAGCAAGGAGUCAUCCAGGAGAGCACUAGUCCUUUUGCUUCUCCAGUGUUGUUGGUCAGGAAGAAAGAUGGAACUUGGCGUUUUUGUGUGGACUACAGAAUGUUAAACUCUGUCACAGUGCCCCAUAAAUAUCCAAUGCCAGUAGUGGAUGAGUUACUUGAUGAGUUGGCUGGUGCUACAUUUUUCACUAAGCUGGAUCUUCGAUCAGGAUAUCAUCAAAUACGAGUGGUUGAAGGAGAGGAACAUAAAACAGCUUUUAAAACUCAUCAUGGCUUGUAUGAGUUUAAGGUCAUGCCCUUUGGUUUAAUCAAUGCCCCUGCAACUUUCCAAGCGGCUAUGAAUGCCCUGUUUGCCCAUUUGUUGAGACAUUGUGUGCUUAUCUUCAUGGAUGACAUCUUAAUCUACAGCCCAGACUUGAAAACACAUCUUGAGCACCUCAAUCAGGUUUUCACUAUACUUCAAGAAAAUCAGCUCUUUGUGAAAUUUAGCAAAUGUUCUUUUGCUCAAACAGAGCUGGAAUACUUGGGACAUAUUAUCAGUGGCAAAGGAGUGCAAACUGAUCCUACUAAGAUCAGAGCUGUGCAGCAG